rnacentral:tRNA from 1 species
GAGGAUAUAGGUCAGUGGUAGAGCAUGUGCUUAGCAUGCACGAGAUCCUGGGUUCAAAGCCCAGUACCUUCA